AAUGAACGCUGGCGGCAGGCCUAACACAUGCAAGUCGAGCGGAUGAAGGCAGCUUGCUCCUGGAUUCAGCGUCGGACGGGUGAGUAAUGCCUAGGAAUCUGCCUGGUUGUGGGGGAUAACGUCCGGAAACGGGCGCUAAUACUGCAUACGUCCUGAGGGAGAAAGUUGGGGAUCUUCGGACCUCACGCUCUCAGAUGAGCCUAGGUCGGAGUAGCUAGUUGGUGGGGUAAAGGCCUACCUAGGCGACGAUCCGUAACUGGUCUGAGAGGAUGAUCACUCACACUGGAGGUGAGACACGAUCCAGGCUACUACGAGAGGGACCAGUGGGGAAUAUUGGACAACGGGCGGAAAUCUGAUCCAGACAUGGCGAGUGUGUGGAGAAGGUCUUCGGAUUGUGGAGAAGUUUUAGUUGGGAGAAAGGGCAGUAAGUUGAGACCUAGCUGGUUUGACGUUACCGGCAGAAUAAGCACCGGCUAACUCCGUG
rnacentral:rRNA from 1 species